rnacentral:rRNA from 2 species
UUUAACGGCCGCGGUAUACUGACCGUGCAAAGGUAGCGUAAUCACUUGUCUUUUAAAUGAAGUCUAGUAUGAACGGCAUCACGAGAACUAAUCUGUCUCCCUCCCCCAAUCAGUGAAACUGAUCCCCCCGUGCAGAAGCGGGGAUGACCCCAUAAGACGAGAAGACCCUGUGGAGCUUCAAAUCAAAAAUCAACUGCUUUCCCCACCCGCACAAAGGAAAUAUUCACACAGACCUGAUUUAGAUUUUCAGCUGGGGCGUCUGUGGAGAAAAGAAAAUCCUCCAUGAAAAUCUAUGCUAAAAGCUACUGCUAUAGGCAUUAAUAAACUUAACUUUAAUUGACCCAUUUUUUGAUCAACGGACCAAGUUACCCCAGGGAUAACAGCGCAAUCCACUUUUAGAGUCCCUAUCGACAAGUGGGCUUACGACCUCGAUGUUGGAUCAGGGCAUCCAAGUGGUGCAGCCGCUACUAAAGGUUCGUUUGUUCAACGAUUAAAG